rnacentral:rRNA from 1 species
CCUACGGGUGGCAGCAGUGAGGAAUAUUGGUCAAUGGACGGAAGUCUGAACCAGCCAUGCUGCGUGCAGGAUGACGGCUCUAUGAGUUGUAAACUGCUUUUGUACAAGAAUAAUAGUUCUUACGUGUAGGGAUUUGAAUGUAUCGUACGAAUAAGGAUCGGCUAACUCCGUGCCAGCAGCCGCGGUAAUACGGAGGAUUCGAGCGUUAUCCGGAUUUAUUGGGUUUAAAGGGUGCGUAGGCUGUGGGAUAAGUUAGAGGUCAAAUGUCGGGGCGUAACCCCGUGACUGCCUCUGAUACUGGUCGACUGGAGAGCGGAAGAAGAAGGCGGAAUGAGUAGUGUAGCGGUGAAAUGCUUAGAUAUUA